UUAGAUUUUAUUUAUUAAUUUUAUUUAUUUAUUUAAUUUAUUUAAUAAAAAUAAUUUUAAAAUUUUAAGUUUUAGUAUUUUAUAAAGAAAAAAUAAUUUUAAUUAUAGUUUAUUUGUAUUGUAAAAGAAAAUUGAAAUAAUUUGAAAAAUUUUUAUUUUAAAAGAAAAUUUAAUUUAUUGUACCUUGUGUAUCAGGGUUUAUUAAAUAAAAAAUUAUUAUAUUAAUUUUUCUCGAAUUUUAAAGAUUUAAUUAUAUAUAAAAGUUACUGUGGAAUAAUUAUUUUUAAUAUAUAAUUAGAAAUGAAAUGUUAAUCGUUUUAAAAUAUAUCUAGUUUUUUAAGAAAUAAAUUUAAUUUAGACUUAUAAAUUUAAAUUAUUUAAUUAAUAUAAAUAAUUUAAUUUAUAAGAUUAAUAUUUUAAGGGAUUAGCUUUAAAAUAAAUUUUUAAAUUUUAAAUUAAUUAUUUAAUAAAUAUAAGCUUAAAAAUAGCUAUUAUUAAUAAAUUUGUUAUAAUUUAUUUUAAAAAUUUAAUUAUUUAUUAUAAAAUUAAAUUAUUUAUUAAAAUAUAAAUUUUAAUAAUAAAAAUUUAUAAAUUAUGAUAAAAUUAGUAUAUAAAAUUUUUAUAAAUAAUUAUUUAUGAAAGGUUUAAAUAAGGAAUUCGGCAAAAUAUAUAUUCACCUGUUUAUCAAAAACAUGUCUUUUUGAAUUAAAUUUAAAGUCUAACCUGCCCACUGAUAUAAAUUAAAGGGCCGCAGUAUUUUGACUGUGCGAAGGUAGCAUAAUCACUAGUCUUUUAAUUGGAGGCUUGUAUGAAUGGUUGAAUGAGAUAUAUACUGUCUUUUUUAAAAUUAUAUAGAAUUUUAUUUUUUAAUUAAAAAGUUAAAAUAAAAUUAAAGGACGAGAAGACCCUAUAGAUCUUUAUUUUUGUUAUUUAUAAAUUAAAAAGAAUUUUAAAAUUUAUAAUUUAAUAAAAAAUUUUAUUGGGGUGAUAUUAAAAUUUAAAAAACUUUUAAAAUUUAUUAACAUAAAUAUAUGAAUAAAUGAUCCAGUUUUAUUGAUUAAAAAUUUAAGUUACCUUAGGGAUAACAGCGUAAUUUUUUUUUAGAGUUCAUAUCGACAAAAAAGAUUGCGACCUCGAUGUUGGAUUAAGAGUUAUUUUUAGGUGUAGAAGUUUAAAGUUUAGGUCUGUUCGACCUUUGAAUUCUUACAUGAUCUGAGUUCAAACCGGCGUAAGCCAGGUUGGUUUCUAUCCUUAAUUAAUUAUUAUGUUAUAGUACGAAAGGACCUAAUAUAAGAAAUAUAGAUUUUAAUAAUAUGAUUAAUAUUAAUAUUAG